rnacentral:rRNA from 1 species
AUUGAACGCUGGCGGCAGGCCUAACACAUGCAAGUCGAGCGGAUCGGCUGACGGGUGAGUAAUGCCUAGGAAUCUUCAUGGUAGUGUGGGAUAACGUCCGGAAACGGGCGCUAAUACCGCAUACUAUCAGAUGAGCCUAGGUCGGAUUAGGUAGUUGGUGGGGUAAAGGCCUACCAAGGCGACGAUCCGUAACUGGUCUGAGAGGAUGAUCAGUCAACCUGGAACGGAGCAACGGUCCAGAAUCCUACGUGAGGCAGAAGUGGGAAAUAUUGGACAAUGGGAGAAAGCCUGAUCCAGCCAUGCCGCGUGUGUGAAGAAGGUCUUCGGAUUGUAAAGCAUUUUAAGUUGGGAGGCGGUACCAACAGAAUAAGCACCGGCGAACUUCGUGCCAGCAGCCGCGGUAAUUC